ACCCAGUAGCCUUCUGUUACUGCAUUAGAAAUCCAGAUAGUCCGGCAUCAAAGCACAGUGAGUUGCUUGUAAAUCAUUAUGGUGAUCUUAAAUCUGAAGGAUACUUAUCUUCAUGUAUUUCACGAGUAGCUCUUGACAGCAGAAUGCUCAGCAAGUGAGUCACCUAUUCCAUGAUGAUGUACUCUUAUAUCUCACCUGUAUGCCAUACCAGUGUCACCACACUCCUUAGUUAAGAGGAUAACUAACCC
rnacentral:lncRNA from 1 species